ensembl:snRNA U1 U1 spliceosomal RNA
AUACUUACCUGGCAGGAGCGAUACCACGAUCACGUAGGUGGUUUGCUCAGAGUGAGGUAUUGUCAUUGCACUUCGGCAUACUGACCUCUGCGAACUCUCCAAAUGCGAGAGUCUCGACUGCAUAAUUUAUGGUAGUGGGGGACUGCGUUCGCGCUCUCCCCUG